rnacentral:lncRNA from 1 species
GAGAGCAAGUCCAACCUGCACGCACGACACCAACGCAAAAGCACAGCGCCCGCCUCCGGAGUGGCACUCGUGGGAGCUACCCAACCGAGUAUGCAGCGUAUCUCUGUCGAGCUCAAUCAGGCUCUAACAAGCCGAAGUCAAGUAGCUAGGGUCAAAACAGGUCUAGAAACUAAAUCCACGUGCCCUUGGCACAAUCUUAGACCAAAAACAGGAAUCUAGGUCCACCGUCCACCCCGACGGCACUCAACAACCCGAAACAGCCUAGACUCUACUAAAAAAAUAAGCUCGGCGUCCCAGCACGAGCGUAAAUGCAUUCUAAACUACCCCGGGUAUCCACGGCGCUGAAACAGCGGUGAUACAAUCAAAC